rnacentral:tRNA from 1 species
GGGGAUUUAGCUCAGUGACAUAAGCGCCUGCCUUGCAAGCAGGUGGUCGUGAGUUCAAUCCCCA